rnacentral:misc_RNA from 1 species
GUUACACAAUUGCUCUAUCUUUUCCUUCCUCUAUAUAUGUAUAUACACUGCCGAUCUGCACCCUUCACUUAAUCAAGGAAACAGGCAGCUCCAAGACCCUACUGAACGAGUGAAAAUGGUGAAUGAAGAAAUGGGCUACAAAGCUCAUGCUCUUAUCCUUCCCUAUCCUCUUCAGGGUCACAUAAACCCCAUGUUACAGUUCUCCAAGCGCUUGGUCUCCAAAGGAGUCAAAGCCACACUAGCAAAUACCAUUGCCAUCAACAAGUCCAUGCAUUCUGACCCAACUAGCCCUGUUGAUAUUGAAACAAUAUCUGAUGGCUUUGAUGAAGGUGGUUUUUCACAGGCCGAGAGCACAGAGGUUUACUUGUCAACUUUAGAAUCUGUAGGUGCACAAACCUUGGCAGAUUUAAUCAAGAAACUUAAAGAUUUGGGUCGCCCUGUAAAUGUACUUAUCUAUGAUGGUUUCUUGCCAUGGGCACUUGAUGUAGCCAAGCAAUUUGGACUGCUUGGAGUGGUGUUUUUCACUCAGCCUUGCACCGUCAAUAACAUAUAUUAUCAUGUCCAAAGGAGUAUUCUUCCCCUGCCACUAGCAGAGCCAACUGUUUCACUUCCUGGAUUGCCUCUGCUUCAAGCUUCGGAGACACCGUCUUUUGUUUCUGAUUCAGGAUCAUACCCUGGCUUCCACCAUCUGGUGGUGAACCAAUUCAGAAACAUUGAUGAAGCAGAUUGGGUACUCUAUAACAACUUUCACAAAUUGGAAGAAGAGGUACUUAAAUAUCUUUAAUCCUAUGAAUUUCCUAGUCGAUUAUUAAUAAGGAUUACUUUCUUUUUUUUUUUCUUAUGACUUCUAAACCAAUCAAUUUCAUAAUUUUGUGGGUGGUAUUGAUUAGGUGGUGGAUUGGAUGGCUAAACGGUGGCGAUUGCGGACGGUAGGGCCAACCCUUCCAUCUAUGUUCUUGGACAAGAGACUUGAAGAUGAUAAAGAUUAUGGCAUCAGUCUGUUUAAGCCAGACACUCAGACCUGCAUGAAAUGGCUCCAGGACAAGCCUAAAGGUUCAGUUGCGUAUGUCGCUUUUGGGAGCAUGGCAGAACUUGGAGCAGAACAAAUGGAGGAGAUUGCUUGGGGAUUGAAGGCAAGUAAUCGCUACUUCUUAUGGGUUGUUAGGGAAUCAGAGAAAGCAAAGUUGCCUAAAAAUUUCAUGGAGGAGACAUCGGACAAGUCUUUAGUGAUCUCAUGGUGCCCACAACUGGAAGUGCUAGCCCAUGAAGCAACAGGGUGCUUUAUAACACAUUGUGGGUUCAAUUCUGUUCUUGAAGCAUUGAGCUUGGGUGUUCCAAUAGUGGCAAUGCCUCAAUGGACAGACCAACCCACUAAUGCUAAGUUUGUGGAGGAUGUUUGGAAAAUUGGAAUUAGAACUUGGCCUGAUGAGAAAGGUAUUGUGAGAAGAGAAUCGGUGGAGCUCUGCAUUAGGCAAAUAAUGGAAGGGGAGAAGGGAAAAGAGAUCAGGGAGAAAGCAAACCGUUGGAGGAUUUUAGCUAAGGAGGCUAUUAGUGAAGGUGGAAGUUCAGAUUUAAACAUUGAUGAAUUUGUGGCCCAAUUGGGCAGCUCCUGAGUGUUUUGUAUCACUGAAUUAUCAUGACAUGAAUAAGUAAUUUGUCUUCAUUAUUUUAGUGAUAAAUAAUUUUCCCAUUAUAAUUAAUGGAGUUGAGUUGCAUGUUGGGGAG